AAAAUUAUUACUAUCAAACAAGAAUAUGGACAUUUGAAAUAGAGUGAGAAUGUGAGGAGCACACCUUGGCAUUGUUCUUCAAAAUUUCCCAACAUAUGAAGUGAAGAAGAAGAAGAAGAAGAAGAAGAAGAAGAAGAAAGAAGAAAAAGAAAGAGACAGUUAGUGGAGGGCAUGCUCUCUCCCUUACUGUGGAGGGCACAUGCCUUAAGAGACAAAUCUUGUCACCUCUCCUCAAGCCAUAACCUGAUAUUCAGCAACCAAGUCAAAAAAACAGGUUUGACAUCCUCCUAAAGUUGCUCUCUAUUACGAAAAGAUGGUUUUCCAAUUUGCUUCCUCCCUCCCUUCGUGGUGACGUGAUGGCUUGAAAAAAGAGUCAUCAUGAAAUGCAUCUCCCAUGGAAAGGUAUUUUUCUUUCCCCCUUUUUGAAUGGUUGAUGAGAUUUCCAUUGCAUCAAUCAGAUUAAGUAACAGAGAACUUUGGGCUGCAAAGUCUAUGUACAACUUUGAGGAUCUUUUCACUCAAUCAUUUCAAAACUUAAAACUAAAAAAGCCACUAGAGAAUAAUUAAUGCUAACAACAUAAGUUCCCAAUCAUACCUGAUUAACAACUUCAUAAAGUUUAAAAUCUAAAAGGAAUAAUACAUGACAUUCACCUCAGUCUAUAUUAACUAAUGAAUUGCCACUUUAUGACUUCGGGGAAACUAUUUCUUUAGUACAUGUCCAUUGGGGGAUUACUAAAUCCAUCACCCAAAACAAGUUCCUAACUCAUCAAGCUAAGAAAAAGGCCAAAAUCAAUAGCAAUCAUAAAAUUAUCAAAUCAGGGUCUACAAAAAAAAAAUAUAUAUUAAAAACAUACAGUUCAUUUUGUGCAAAAGUUGGUGUAAUGAUUUCUAAAAGAAAUAGUUGGUGCCAUUAUGACAGAUCUUAACCAGACGUUAGAAGAUGAAUCAAAAGGACAAUUGGUAGGCCAAAACGAGUAUCACUAGUUUUAUUUCACCAUCACUGGAGUACAACUUAAGCUUCAAAAAGUAACAACAAAAAACAAAGGAGAGGAAUAAAAACAAGUCAGGCUUCCCUGGUAACAGGUCACACUGCUCGUGGAUGCAAGAGAUUUUAGCGUAAAAGAAAUACAUGACCUAGAAGGAAAUUAGUAAAAUAUUUGAAAAGGCAUGAAAUCAGAAUAUAAUUUUGGGUAUACAGAGGUACCUAUGAAAGGUGCGUCAAUUAGAAAUACUUAACAGAAAAUCAAGAAGUUAUACAUCAAGCUUUAUUAUGCAGUUGAAAGUAAUAACUUCUAAAUAUGUUCCAACUAACUACUCUCCAAAAUUAUUCACUGAGAUUCAGCAGCCAGUGUAAGCUACAAUUUUAUGAUUGUAAGUUGUCAAGUAAUUUUGGGUACAUCCUAAAGACAUUCACUUUCUAAGUUCAAUGAAUGUCUCCUACUUUUCUUUCCUACAUACACAUGAAUCCAUGAUCUCUCUCAGUUUCAUGCAUAUUCCUCAGGGUAGGUCCUUAACCACUUUUCUUUUGCUUGGGCCUCAACUCAAUCACUCUAUAUUGUCCUUCAAAGAGAUUCUGUCCCAAACUGCUAGAAAAUUGGGGAACCAGAGUUUGUGCCUAAAGUUGUAGAAGAUGAACUGGUCUACAAACUCUUAAUUUCUUUGAACAGAUAAUGACAUUGGUGGAUGGAACUUCAACUUGGACAGAAGAUCCAAUUACAUGGUAUUGAAUUAGCCAAUCAGGAAUAACAAAUAUUGAUCGUCAAACCUUUAUUCUCAAAGGAGUUUUAAGACUAUUCUUAAACGUCUUGUAGAAAGAAAUCAGAGCAAAGUUAUCAGUCUCUUGUCUUCAAAAGAAGUCUAUAAGGUACUUAGAGGUUUAGAGAGGAUUAGUACGGUACUAGUAAGGACACACGAGAUAUUAGCUAUAAAGUUAGUGUAUUUGGUUAUCAAUAGAGAGGAUUGAGAGAAGGCAAACAAUUGUUGAGUGAUUUAGGGCUUCGGUUAACACACUCAAGACGAGUGGUUCAAGAUGCCUUAUAUUUUGUUAUUUUAGUAGUUCUUGAUCCUUUAUAUUUCAAUAUAUUUCAGUUCUUAAUUCCUGUUAGAUAGUAUAGUACCCUAACAAAGUCUAACCCAAUUAAAUAAGCCAUGACUGACAUGUGGUGGACUUCCACCUUGCAGCAAAGUGAUUCAGACAAUCCGGCAGCAGGGAUUGGGAAAUUUGUGCGUACCGCUAUUUCAGAGAAUAUGGUCUUGCUUAAUCCUUACAACGAAGAGUCAAAUAUGCAUUUUAGAAUUCAGGUUCUUUUAGAACUUUUAGAGAUUAAUUACAGAAUAAGGUCAUGACUAAAAGCAUGUCAAUUUUUCUAAUCCAAGUCAUCCAAAUAUUUCUCUUCACUUCACAUUUGGAGUGCGAGCUCAACAAUAUCAUUGUUGCAAGUUAUCUACUUGCACGUAGUUAGUUGCCAAAACUACUAUACACCAGUACUAUCAAGUAACUGGUAGGAAAAACUGUAGUAUUGUUGUUGUCAUGUUGUGCACUUGAACAAUCUCCAACUUUGAGUUAUCUAUAAAGUUUUGGUUCUUUGUAGAGGCAA